UCACCAGCACCAACAGUGCACACAUUCUCCAUCCCUAAGUACUUUCAGCUGAACUUCUAUUUGUCAGAAGAAGACUGAAAAAAUGGUUGUCAAGAGUGUUGGAGUCACAGCCCACAGCUAAGAAGCUCAUUUUGUGCAUUCACAGAACUUGGUGAUUUUGCUGGUUUUUGUACAGAAAAUGUCACCACAAUAUUUUCUGAUGUAAUACUAGCAUUCCAGAACGGAAUUUUCCAGAGAAAGAUGACACAAAGAGAGUAGUGAACAGACACAGAACAAGGCUGGUGUGUAAGAUGUAACUGUUGUCAGAAAGACAAAGGCACCUCUAUGAUGUAGCAGAUGUUAGGGAGAACAUCAGGGCUAUAGCAAGAGAGAAGUCAGGACCACUGGAAAGGAACACAGUCAUGAUUGAGUUCAAAAGUGAGCACAGAGACCAUCCAUUUUAACAUGAAAAGCCAGGCCAAUCCCCCAAAAUGCAGGAGGAAGAUGCUGUAAUAGAACAAUAACACGGUUUGGAGAUAAUUAAGUCUCCAUGUUUGGAUAUACUACUUAAGCAGCUUUUCCUUGGUUUUGGUAGUCCCACAUCACAUUGACACAGCUGCAGCUCUGACCUGUGUUGUUUCCAGGACUGGGCAAGCUCAGCAGGCUGUAACUGCCUCCAGCUGCCUGGGAGGAAGAGGAGUUUGGUUAAAGUGCUCACAGGCCUCUGAAGGAAAAAAAUUAAAGAGAGAAGACCAGUUUCUGCUAUCAGUUACACUGGUUUAAAUCCAGAGCAGUUCACCAUCUGCAUCAGGGAUAUCACUGUGGCUUAAGAGCUGUAUACAAAGGAAGGAGAAUUUUAUUCAGAACAUCACAUCCUAGGUAAGCAUUUUACCAUACCAUUUCAGUUCAUUUUUUCCAGCCUUUAAAAUUCUACCAUGAUAAUCAGGGGCUUUCUGAAACUGGUGGGCUAGCUGUACUUCCAGGAGCUGUGGUACCUGCUGUGUAAGAAACAGCACCCAUAGUUUGCUUUUGUACAAGGUCUUCCUUCCAGCUUAUCAAUUUAUUGUCCAAUUUCCCAGUCAGUGAAUGAUCUGUGGCCUCUCCCAUCAACAAGGAGGGAAGGAGGUUAGAGUUUAGGAGAAGCACGGCUGCCCAAAACCACAAGGUGGAGAAUUAUGAAACCUUUACACAAAAAAAAAAGAAGACCAAGACAGCAAUAAAGCCACCAGAAUCCUCUUGUACACCCUGAUCUCUCGUACAACCUAACCCCCAAUGCACAAUUGGAAAGAAAACAAUUAAGUCUCUCCUAUCACACUUUUAUUUUUAGAGUGCUCGCCACCAGGAGAUCUAUGAGACAUCAGAAUGCUGAGCUCGUCCCUGAGCUGCUGACUGUCCUCACUGCCUUCUCUGCCACACGCACCCUUGCUCUCCCCUAUACAUAAACAAAUUGUGGACCUAUCAAUUUGUGUGCAAGUAACUUGCACAGUAAGGCUAUGACUGGUAAAAAUCUUUACUAGAAAUCUUCCAGCUACUCAUCAGCUAGCUGUUGUGCAGCACUCUGCAUCUUGCCGAGGAAUUCAAGUGGAAGACAACAAACAAGUUUCAACUGCUGUUUUGCUCUGUAGCUGACAACAGUGCAACUCCUCAUCUUGACACCACAGGGCAGUGUGCUCUAGGCACUCCUUAGU